rnacentral:tRNA from 1 species
AAGACUAUAAAAGAUUUUGACUUCUAAUCAAUAAUCCAAGCUUUAUGUUUUAGUCUUA